rnacentral:rRNA from 1 species
AUACGGAGGGUGCGAGCGUUAAUCGGAAUUACUGGGCGUAAAGCGUACGUAGGCGGUUGGUUAAGUUAGAUGUGAAAGCCCCGGGCUUAACCUGGGAACUGCAUUUAAAACUGGCGAACUAGAGUUGAGUAGAGGGGAGUGGAAUUUCUGGUGUAGCGGUGAAAUGCGUAGAGAUCUGAAGGAACACCAGUGGCGAAGGCGACUCCCUGGACUCGAACUGACGCUGAGGUACGAAAGCGUGGGUAGCAAACGGGAUUAGAUACCCCAGUAGUCC